AUGAGAACUAGGCUUAUUCAGGAGGGAGGUGGCUGUUGCUAUUGCUGGAGCAGAGCUGGCCUCGGUGAUGUUCUCUGAGCCCUGGAGGCAGGAGUAACCUUCAGGAGGGGGCAGGCGCACGCUGCUCCGGUGGCAUGGAGGGACUGGGGGGGCAGCUGUGCCCCCCAGCAUCAAACCCAGACAUCAAGUCCCAUCUCUGGAAUGCCUGCGAGCUUUCGUUUAUAAUUGGGAGGAAGAAGCACAAAACUCCCCUAAAAUAACAGUUUUUAUUGGGAACAUGUAAUAAACCCCUCUCUGUUCCUCUCCUCGCCUUUGAUAAUGUUACCAGGGCUCACAGCUCCCUUCAAAGUGUUGCUCCAACUUAAAAAUAAGUCUAUUAAAAAUUUAAACCCGCUUUUCUAUACAAUAAAACUUGCUCCCUGCAAUUAUGCAGAGGGACUAGUUAUCUUGCCUUUUGUAGUUUUUAAUUAAAAGUUACAGCGGGAAGGGAAGAACAACUGCCACGUGCUAACAGCCCUCUGCUGGGGCUGAGCUGCCGGAGCCUUUCCUGGCCGGGCACAGGUUCGGGGGCAGCUCCGUGGCUGGGAGAGGACGUCAGGAUGUGGCAUUUGCACCAGGAUGCUUGGGUGAGCAGCUGGGGAUGAGGAAUGGAUGCUGAGGUUCUGGGGUGAAAACACCAGGGUUUGGAUGCGGGGUCCUGGGGUGCAAACACCAGG